rnacentral:rRNA from 1 species
GAUGAACGCUGGCGGCGUGCCUAAUACAUGCAAGUCGAGCGAACGGACGAGAAGCUUGCUUCUCUGAUGUUAGCGGCGGGCGGGUGAGCAACACGUGGAUAACCUACCUAUAAGACUGGGAUAACUUCGGGAAACCGUAGCUAAUACCGGAUAAUAUUUUGAACCGCAUGGUUCAAAAGUGAAAGACGGUCUUGCUGUCACUUAUAGAUGGAUCCGCGCUGCAUUAGCUAGUUGGUAAGGUAACGGCUUACCAAGGCAACGAUGCAUAGCCGACCUGAGAGGGUGAUCGGCCACACUGGAACUGAGACACGGUCCAGACUCCUACGGGAGGCAGCAGUAGGGAAUCUUCCGCAAUGGGCGAAAGCCUGACGGAGCAACGCCGCGUGAGUGAUGAAGGUCUUCGGAUCGUAAAACUCUGUUAUUAGGGAAGAACAUAUGUGUAAGUAACUGUGCACAUCUUGACGGUACCUAAUCAGAAAGCCACGGCUAACUACGUG